rnacentral:rRNA from 1 species
AGUGAACGCUGGCGGUAGGCCUAACACAUGCAAGUCGAACGGCAGCACAGUAAGAGCUUGCUCUUACGGUUGGCGAGUGGCGGACGGGUGAGGAAUACAUCGGAAUCUACUUUUUCGUGGGGGAUAACGUAGGGAAACUUACGCUAAUACCGCAUACGACCUACGGGUGAAAGCAGGGGAUCUUCGGACCUUUCGCGAUUGAAUGAGCCGAUUUCGGAUUAGCUAGUUGGGGGGGUAAAGGCCCACCAAGGCGACGAUCCGUAGCUGGUCUGAGAGGAUGAUCAGCCACACUGGAACUGAGACACGGUCCAGACUCCUACGGGAGGCAGCAGUGGGGAAUAUUGGACAAUGGGCGCAAGCCUGAUCCAGCCAUACCGCGUGGGUGAAGAAGGCCUUCGGGUUGUAAAGCCCUUUUGUUGGGAAAGAAAAGCAGCAGGUUAAUACCCCGCUGUUCUGACGGUACCCAAAGAAUAAGCACCGGCUAACUUCGUG